rnacentral:rRNA from 1 species
UGGCUCAGAUUGAACGCUGGCGGCAUGCUUUACACAUGCAAGUCGAACGGUAACAGGCCUUUCGGGGUGCUGACGAGUGGCGAACGGGUGAGUAAUGCAUCGGAACGUACCUGGGAGUGGGGGAUAACCUAUCGAAAGGUAGGCUAAUACCGCAUAUUCUCUGAGGAGGAAAGUGGGGGACCUUCGGGCCUCACGCUUCUGGAGCGGCCGAUGUCCGAUUAGCUAGUAGGUGGGGUAAAGGCCCACCUAGGCGACGAUCGGUAGCUGGUCUGAGAGGAUGAUCAGCCACACUGGGACUGAGACACGGCCCAGACGCCUACGGGAGGCAGCAGUGGGGAAUUUUGGACAAUGGGGGCAACCCUGAUCCAGCCAUGCCGCGUGAGUGAAGAAGGCCUUCGGGUUGUAAAGCUCUUUCGGCCGGGAAGAAAUCGCCUCGGUGAAUAAUCGAGGUGGAUGACGGUACCGGAAGAAGAAGCACCGGCUAACUACGUGCCAGCAGCCGCGGUA